CGGGGACCACGAAGAAGAGUAUGUAUGCGAAAAGCGCGGUUUUCCCGCUCUCGUUGGGAACGCGUGCCCGUUCACCUCGGACGGGGAGGGAAGUGGGAGACUUGCGCGAUUCGUGACAGUUCGGGGAACAGUGGCCUUCCCGAAGGCGCGUCCACGUCUUUUUAAAUACUUUCGCCCGGUCGCGCAUGCGUGCGAAUAGAACUCACCCUGAGGUCGUGACCUUCCUAAAUACCGGUCAAGAGUAACACAUGGAUCAUUGGGAAAGUGAGGGGUAAGACAGGAUCGAUCGAUCGAUCGAUGCGUUUUACCACCGAUCACGAUGAGAUGAAGGGAAUUGUUAUCAGAUAAUGUAGAAAAUGUGGUUAACUCAAGUGGAAAGCAGCUCGUCACGAGUGAUUGAUACUUUCAUUCAAGUCUUACGCGCGAUACGAACUCGGCGAGGACUCGGUGAUUGUCUACGUGAGUCGCGGAAGCUGGCGACGACUAUUACAGGAAGGAAGGACUUCUUUAUGGUGGUGGUGAACCUUGGUGACCUCGACGGCGAGACCCGCCAGGCUUAUUCACGAACGCUUCGCAUUGCAUCCGGACGCUACCAGCAUAAUAAGAUAUAGGUCAAGUGCGGCUGGUACCAUGUAUGGCCGUACCCGUGCCGAGGAAGGACAAAGUUAUAUACGCAGGUUAUCGAUGCCGAAUCGAAAGGGCUCGUUCUCUUUACCUUUAUUUUUGCCGCCUCCUUGUCUGUCCCGACCGCCGCUUGUCACGUGAAACCCAACUCCCAAAGGUUGUUCUGGCUGUGAGCCUAGUUAGAAUUUAUUUGAUUUGCGGAAAAGCUGUUCGAUUUACAUUUACCGCUAAUUAGUAAACUACCAAAUCGGUAUCGAUGAAUCACCGGAAUCUAAUUAAUGGUUCUCCGAACCGGUCAUGAAUAUUAAUCGAAAGUCCUGUACCUUUUCUUCGCCCACUUACGAUCAGUUAUAUCAUUUAAUCGUAACGCGAUCAAUUACAAUUACGUAAUUGUAUUAUAAUACACGUUCUGUAUUUAAAUAUUAUCGAACAACUUGUUUUCCUGACUCUUAAGAAAGAUAAGGAAGAUGUAUCGACGGUAUUAACCCAAGGCGAGAAAUUAGAUUAAGAUUUACGUAAAAGUAUUUGCUACUAUAGCGUGUAACCCUCUUAGGUAUGGCUUCGCGUAUUGCGUAAGUUGUUCCUUUUCAGAUUGUUCAACCAACGCCCUUUCCUUCGGACCACACGUACGAUGAUUGUCAAGUAACACUAAGUUCAUAAAUAAGCCGCGUGUUCCACCGGUUUAUAAAAAAAUUUGAUCUGCGGAAAACAUAGAGAAUAUCUGUAACACUUGCAAGAAUGAAAGAAGUCUCAAUUUAGUGUUUUCAAAUUAACGUCACAAAAAUAUUUUGCAUAAAAAUCGACGGUGAAGUUUUUUUACCAGGUUUUAGGCUGAUCAUCUUGUUUGCGGCUGUACGAUUACAAUAUCGCGUAAAGUUUCUUAAGUCUCGGUUCAUGACUGGUUUCUACACAUGCUCUCUCAUCUCUUUUCAUAAUUCAAUACACCGCAUUACGUUACCUCAGAUUAACGAUUAGCGAUCAUCGAUCGCGUAGUCCGGCUGUAAAGAAAAAAAAUAGAAUCCCAUGAGCUGAUUCAAAUUCAGCGUAUGAACGGCUGUAUUUAGUACUCGAUGCGUGGUUCAAGUAUUCAAUAACCCUGAGGCGAUAUUUCAAAAGACAACCUUUUAAAACGGCAGUAACCAUAAGUAGAAUGCAGAAAACCCGUCGGGAACAAUAUCGUUUAAGGACGAUGAGUUACGUCUAUAUUGUCAUGGAAAUAGUACGUACAUCGUAUUUAUCGUACGUUACAUAAUUCUUAAAGGCUUCAUCUACAUUAUUUUAACGCGGAGUCCUUUCACGAAAUUCACUCUCACUUUUCACCUGGGGGGCAUCCGUCGACGUUCUAUCGCCCGAGGCGAUUAUUUUGGCAGCGUGUAAUAUAAGAUUAAAUCUGAAUAGACAAAACCAGUUCAUGAAAAGUUGCAGGACUAUUGUUUAUUAUUCAUGGUACAUUAACAUAGUAUAUAGCAUAGUAUAGUAUUAAUAUUCUAAAUUGUCUUGUACACUAUAUGCGGCACUCCUUAUGUCUGCACGUUCAGUUUUCUUAUAAUUAUAUAAAGAUCAGUGGUCUAUUUAUUAUUAUUUGUAAUAACAAAUUUUCCUCUACGAUUGUCGGCAAGUGUCGCGUUGCAGAUUAAUUAUCCCUGAUUAGUCGAUUCAAAGAGAAACCGGGACGCGAACAUUUAUAAUCGCGGAUCUACCGAGGCCUCUAGGAAGGAUCUUAGAUCUAUUCUAUUUUACGCCGUGUCCUUGUCGUUGCUGAUACUUUUAAAAUAGCAAGGCCCAUUCUUGUCCGGUGAAUUCUCUCAAUCUGAAUUCUAGAAGGGAACGCGUGACGGUGUCACGUUGUCCCUUACAAAUAAUGUACGUGAGAUUUGUUCGAAUUUAUAAACGUCUCAACAUAAACGUCGGACAUGGAAUAUUUAAAGAACUGUAAAACGAAUCUUAUACUUAUAUACAUUGGAUGUAAUCGAAUAAAUAAAAUCCAAUGAGCGAUAAAAAGGCGAAGGUGAGAAGCCUAAUAAAAAAUUAAUCCGAGUUUUUAUUAGAUUUCAUACCUCUCUCGAUUAUCCGAUACUUACUAUGCUGUAAUAGAAAAAAACUUCAAAUUAAGAUCGACUCGAUCAAUGGUAAUAGCAAUAAUCCAAGGUACGUGACGUUAAUAAAUGUCAAGGUAACACCAACUUCUUCUUCUCUUGUUAAAAGUACUUCAAUUUUUAGCGUGCAUCGUAACUUUCUUUCAGGGAAUCCGAUCUAUAAAAGAUCAAAAGGGAAAGAGAAUAGGCAUUGUGCUUGUGAUCGCCAGCCUUCGAGUGGAAUGAAUUUUCAUGAAAAAAACCGAUGCGAACAUUCUCAUUCGCGUAAUCCUUUCAUCGACACGCUUAAUUAAUUGACGUAAUUCAUUACUAUCGAUGAACCGAUACUCGUUUUCCCUAUCGUACAUCUGCAUACCGUCGCUCAUUGUAAAAAUUAACGCUGUGUAUUGAGAUAGAAGAAUCUGGACGAGGAUACCCUACGGUUCGCCAAUGUAAUUUCCCGGCGAUGCAUAGGGCGGCGAUUCCCUGAGGCGAUUCUCGUUGUUCGACGUCUUGUUCUCUUCACUGGAGACGGGAGCAGAACUCGAACUGGGUCAGGGCAGCGCGCCAAAUGGUUGGAUCAAUUUUAUUUUAAAUUUAUCAAGUCCGCUUCGGCGCUGCACGGACACGCGUGAUCAGUUCGGAUUUCCAGAUCGAUUAAAAAUGGUACCUUCGUAAAAAAAAUCGCUCAUUGGCUUCAAUCCCCGUUUUAACAUAUCUCGUAUAAUUUGAUUUUCAGAAAUAAUUUUUUUAUUCGAAUGUUUUAUGGUACUGUAAAUUAUUUAUAGACAAACGUUAAUCGUUUUUAUUGGAAAUUGGGAUUGCAUGCGAUUAAAAACAGCGGUGUAUCAUUUCAAUGUUACGUUAUAACAAGUUGCGAGAGGAAAUCGCGUAAUAUGAAUAUCGCACCUGCGGACUGGGAGACCAGGGAUCUUCCACUGUCCUUCCUCCUCCUCUUCUACAUCCCCGACGCGAUUGUUCUUGAACGCGAUGCGAUUUAAUUGUGUAUUUUUUCUCUCAUUGUUCGACCGCGAUUACUCGUUUAAUUAUCAUCGGCAAUCAUUUCGACAAUUGACAAUAAACUACAAACACGAUAUUUAAAGAAUCGAAGUAAAAUGACGAGUCUCGUUGUUCACUUCAUGCUUAAAUUCAUAUAGUGAUUGCGUACGCUCUUAGAAAACAAUGGUUCUCGUGUAUCAUCACGCAUAUUAAAUAGAGAAAAUCUGUGUAACACGUGGAACAGCCGAGGAGUGGAGAACCACUGAAACUGUGUGACUCAGGCAGAGUAAGGUCCAGUAUAAGGCCCUGGGGUGAUUCGCCUAGACGGCCAUGACCAUAUUACAGGCCAGAGGCCUCCGCGCCAGCCGCUAAACUUACUUCCAGUAACAAUUGGUGAAAUCAUUGCCGGUACUUCGUUACUCGCGGAGCUCGUAGACAAAUUAGUUCCUGCGAUUAUUUAGCUCCGUAAACGUAUUUAUACGUCGUGAAGUAUGAAAAGGGUAUUCGUGAUAUAAUAUUUAUUUACACACGCUGGUGCUUAUAAUUAAAUUUACAAUUAUUAUAAAUGUACAUAAAAUCUCAGCCGUCCAGAA